UUUAAAGAUAGCGUAACAGCUCACUGGUCUAAACAAGUUGUCCUGCGGCGAAGAUGUAACGGGGCUCAAGCCAUGAGCCGAAGCUUAGGAUGCACGUAGUGCAUGGUAGCAGAGCGUAGUGUGACAUAAUUCCAUGCGUCCUUAAUCCCUUCGGGGAUAUUGGACGCAAGGAAUUUUCUGUGAAGCCGGCCUGUGAGGGAUCCGGUGGAGAGAUCACUAGUGAGAAUGAUGACAUGAGUAGCGACAAAGAGUGUGAGAGACACUCUCGCCGAAAGUCCAAGGGUUCCUGCUUAAAGCUAAUCUGAGCAGGGUAAGCCGACCCCUAAGGCGAGGCCGAAAGGCGUAGUCGAUGGGAACCAGGUUAAUAUUCCUGGGCCAGGAGGAUGUGACGGAUCUCGAAGGUUGUUUCCCCUUAUCGGAUUGGGGAGGCCGCUUAGAGGUUCCUGGAAAUAGCCCUCCGCUAGAUCGUACCCUAAACCGACACAGGUGGACUGGUAGAGCAUACCAAGGCGCUUGAGAGAACUAUGCUGAAGGAACUCGGCAAAUUGCUCCCGUAAGUUCGCGAGAAGGGAGCCUCUGCAUUGGGCAACCAGUGUGGAGGGGCACAGACCAGGGGGUGGCGACUGUUUACUAAAAACACAGGA
rnacentral:rRNA from 1 species